UCGCCUGUUUAUCAAAAACAUCACCUCUAGCAUCACCAGUAUUAGAGGGCACCGCCUGCCCAGUGACACAUCGCCCUGUUUUACAAAAACAUCUCUUUCUAAUGUAGAAGGUAGGCUCUGCUCAGUGAAUGAUUAAAUAGCCGCAGUAUCUUGACUGUGCUAAGGUAGCAUAAUAAUUUGUUCUAUAAUAGAGGACUGGAAUGAAUGAGUUGACGUUAUUUAAUCUUUUUUUGAAAAAAUUUAGAAUUUGAUAUUCUCGUCAAAAAGUGAGACUUUUUAAAGGGACGAUAAGACCCUAUAAAACUUUACUGAUGAAUUUUUGCAAAUUUUGGAGAGGUAAAGAGUAAAUUGGUUGAGCUGGGGCGGCAUGAAUUAUAUUCUUUUCUGGAAAAAACAAAAUUUUUGGAUUUAAAGAUCUUGGAUAAAGAUUUAGAAUAAGUUACUUUAGGGAUAACAGCAUAAUUUUUUCGUAUAGAUCUUAUAGAUGAAAAAGACUUAUGACCUCGAUGUUGAAUUGAGGGGCUUUCUUUAAGCAGCAGUAAAGAAAAGGGGUCUGUUCGACCUUUGAUUCCUCACGUGAUCUGAUUUCAGACCGGAAGCCGCUAUUAAAGGUUCGUUUGUUCAACGAUUAAAGUCCUACGUGAUCUGAGUUCAGACCGGA
rnacentral:rRNA from 1 species